GACGAACGCUGGCGGCGUGCUUAACACAUGCAAGUCGAACGGAAAGGCCCUGCUUUUGUGGGGUGCUCGAGUGGCGAACGGGUGAGUAACACGUGAGUAACCUGCCCUUGUCUUUGGGUUAACUUCAGGCAACUGGGGCUAAUACCGGAUAGGAGCUCCUGCUGCAUGGUGGGGGUUGGAAGGUUUCGGCGGUUGGGGAUGGACUCGCGGCUUAUCCGCUUGUUGGUGGGGUAGUGGCUUACCAAGGCUUUGACGGGUAGCCGGCCUGAUAGGGUAGCCGGCCACAUUGGACUUGGGAUGCGACCCAGCCCCGUCUGGGAGGCAGCAGUGGAGAAGAUUGCACUAUAGACGGAAGCCAAACGCAGCAACGCCGCGUGCGGGAUGACGGCCUUCGGGUUGUAAACCGCUUUCGCCUGUGACGAGGCGUUAGUGACGGUAAUGGGUAAAGAAGCACCGGCUAACUACGUG
rnacentral:rRNA from 1 species